UACGGAGGAUCCAAGCGUUAUCCGGAUUUAUUGGGUUUAAAGGGUGCGUAGGCGGGUUAUUAAGUCAGUGGUGAAAGCCUGCAGCUUAACUGCAGAAUUGCCAUUGAUACUGAUAAUCUUGAGUACAGUUGAGGUGGGCGGAAUGUGUCAUGUAGCGGUGAAAUGCUUAGAUAUGACACAGAACACCGAUUGCGAAGGCAGCUCGCUAAGCUGUAACUGACGCUGAGGCACGAAAGCGUGGGGAUCAAACAGG
rnacentral:rRNA from 1 species